rnacentral:RNase_P_RNA from 2 species
UGAGUCAGUCAGGCGGCCGCGUCAGGCCCUCGGGCCUGCCGAGGAACGUCCGGGCUCCGCAGGGCAGGGUGGUGGGUAACACCCACCCGGGGUGACCCGCGGGACAGUGCCACAGAGAGAAGACCGCCCGCACCGGUCGGCGUGAGCCGUCCGGGCGCGGGUAAGGGUGAAACGGUGGUGUAAGAGACCACCAGCGUGCCGGGUGACCGGUGCGGCUCGGUAAACCCCACCCGGAGCAAGGUCAGACAGGGAGCGUUCGAGGGCGGCCCGCCCGAGCUCCCGGGUAGACCGCUGGAGGCGUGCGGCAACGUACGUCGUAGAGGGAUGGCCGCCACCCGUGCCGGGGCAACCGGGCACGGGGACAGAACCCGGCGUACCGACUGACUCAUCCG